rnacentral:misc_RNA from 1 species
CUGCCUCCUGCGCCUCCGCCGCCGCCGCCUUCUUCGUCUGCUGAGUUCGUAGAUCAGCUCGAGCUCGCCGCCAUGUCGUCCAGCGAGGUCGCCUGCACGCUCGCCGCCCUCAUCCUCCACGACGAUGGCAUCCCCAUCACCUCUGAGAAGAUCGCCACCCUGGUGAAGGCGGCCAACAUCAAGGUCGAGGCCUACUGGCCCGGUCUCUUCGCCAAGCUCCUCGAGCACCGCAGCGUCGAUGACCUCAUCCUCUCCGUCGG